AAAGCUUUCAUUCAGGCACUCUGGGGAGCAACAUUAACCAUCUCGUAUCAAGCACAUUGGUUUGUUAAUACUCUUUUCAUGGGAACCAAAAUAUGAAUCUCUAAUUGAUGAAUUAUUUAGUUACUUCCAUCCACGGACCCUGGUAGUGAAAGUGAAUUCAGAUGCACUGAAGUACAACUUUAUACAGGUCUUAUUAGAUGAACUGAAAGACUGGGAAACGGAAUUGGAAUGUGGCAAGUGAUGUAGUAAUUACAUGUGUUGGGGUUAUUUCUUGAAAGGUUUUAGGAUUCACGAAUCAACUACAAGACGGCGCGCUAAUCAGAUUAGCUUGGAUUUGCAAUGGCGCCUCCAAUAGAAAAGGCCAUCGACCCGUGGCGGAGCCAAGAUUUUCACUAACGAGGUUCAAAAUUGGAGAAGUAAACACACAGAGAAGUUAGGGGAUUCAACAUUUACUAUAUAUACAUAAAACACAAUUGUAGCCUUACAUGUACAGAGUAAUUUCCACCACAGGCGGUUGAGAUGUAUGAGGAAAUCAUCCUAUUCUCAAGUGAUUGAUACGAUUUGGUUAUAAUCUGAUAUGAUUUGAUUAUAAUCCUUUGUAAUCUGGUUGUAAUUAAAACGAUUAGAAUUUCAUUACAAUUAGGAUCUUCUAUCUUUGGUAGGAUAUUUCUCUUGCUUUCUUAUAUAAAUACUGAACCAUUAUGUGAAUAAUA